rnacentral:rRNA from 1 species
UUAGCCGGCGCUUGUUCUNAUGGUACCGUCAGNACNCUUANAAAAGCCUUUUUUCGUCCCAGAUAAAAGAAGGUUACAAUCCAAGGACCUUCNUCCUCCACCCGGCAUGGNUGGUUUAGAUUAGCGUCCAUNGACCAAUAUUCCUUACUGCUGC